rnacentral:rRNA from 1 species
ACUCCUACGGGAGGCAGCAGUGGGGAAUAUUGCACAAUGGGCGCAAGCCUGAUGCAGCCAUGCCGCGUGUGUGAAGAAGGCCUUCGGGUUGUAAAGCACUUUCAGUCGUGAGGAAGGUAGUGUAGUUAAUAGCUGCAUUAUUUGACGUUAGCGACAGAAGAAGCACCGGCUAACUCCGUGCCAGCAGCCGCGGUAAUACGGAGGGUGCGAGCGUUAAUCGGAAUUACUGGGCGUAAAGCGCAUGCAGGUGGUUUGUUAAGUCAGAUGUGAAAGCCCGGGGCGUCAACCUCGGAAUUGCAUUUGAAACUGGCAGACUAGAGUACUGUAGAGGGGGGUAGAAUUUCAGGUGUAGCGGU